UCCAGACUCCUACGGGAGGCAGCAGUGGGGGAUAUUGCACAAUGGGGGGAACCCUGAUGCAGCGACGCCGCGUGGGUGAAGGAGCGUUUCGGCGCGUAAAGCCCUAUCGGCAGGGAAGAAGGAGGACGGUACCUGACUAAGAAGCCCCGGCUAACUACGUGCCAGCAGCCGCGGUAAUACGUAGGGGGCAAGCGUUAUCCGGAUUUACUGGGUGUAAAGGGGGCGCAGACGGCAGCGCAAGCCAGGAGUGAAAGCCCGGGGCCCAACCCCGGGACUGCUCUUGGAACUGCGCGGCUGGAGUGCAGGAGGGGCAGGCGGAAUUCCUGGUGUAGCGGUGAAAUGCGUAGAUAUCAGGAGGAACACCGGUGGCGAAGGCGGCCUGCUGGACUGCGACUGACGUUGAGGCCCGAAAGCGUGGGGAGCAAACAGGAUUAGAUACCCCCGUAAGG
rnacentral:rRNA from 1 species